rnacentral:rRNA from 1 species
AGUGAACGCUGGCGGUAGGCCUAACACAUGCAAGUCGAACGGCAGCACAGUAAGAGCUUGCUCUUACGGGUGGCGAGUGGCGGACGGGUGAGGAAUACAUCGGAAUCUACUUUUUCGUGGGGGAUAACGUAGGGAAACUUACGCUAAUACCGCAUACGACCUACGGGUGAAAGUAGGGGAUCUUCGGACCUUGCGCGAUUGAAUGAGCCGAUGUCGGAUUAGCUAGUUGGCGGGGUAAAGGCCCACCAAGGCGACGAUCCGUAGCUGGUCUGAGAGGAUGAUCAGCCAAACUGGAAAUGAGAAACGGCCCAGAACCUGAGGGGGGGCAGGAGUGGGGAAUAUUGGAAAAGGGGCGCAAGCUUUAUCCAGCCAUACCGGGGGGGUGAAGAAGGCCUUCGGGUUUUAAAGCCUUUUUGUUGGAAAAAAAAAGCAGCCGGUUAAUACCCCCCUGUUCGGAGGGUACCCAAAGAAUAAGCACCGGCUAAUUUCGU